rnacentral:rRNA from 1 species
UGUGUAGGCGGUUCUUUAAGUUUGGUGUGAAAUCUCCCGGCUCAACUGGGAGGGAGCGCCGAAUACUGAGGGACUAGAGUACGGGAGAGGAAAGUGGAAUUCCUGGUGUAGCGGUGAAAUGCGUAGAUAUCAGGAGGAACACCGGUGGUGUAGACGGCUUUCUGGACCGACACUGACGCUGAGACACGAAAGCGUGGGUAGCAAACAGGAUUAGAUACCCUGGUAGUCCACGCCCUAAACGAUGCAUAUUUGGUGUGGGCAGUUCAUUCUGUCCGUGCCGGAGCUAACGCGUUAAAUAUGCCGCCUGGGAGUACAGUCGCAAGGCUGAA